UACGUAGGCGGAAAAUUAAGUCAGUAGUGAAAUCCCGCAGCUUAACUGUGGAACUGUUAUUGAUACUGGUUUUCUUGAAUUUAGUUGAGGUAGGCGGAAUGUGUAAUGUAGCGGUGAAAUGCUUAGAUAUUACACAGAACACCGAUUGCGAAGGCAGCUUACUAAGCUAUGAUUGACGCUGAGGUACGAAAGCGUGGGGAGCGAACAGGAUUAGAUACCCUGGUAGUCC
rnacentral:rRNA from 1 species